UGAUGGCCUUCAAGAGUUUGAAUGUUCUCUCCUACUGGAGAGACAAUGCUAAUCGGUUUAAGGAGCUCACAUCAAUGGCAUGUGACGUCUUGAGCAUACCCAUCACCACGGUUGCUUCAGAAUCAUCCUUCAGCAUUGGAAGCCGUGUAUUGAACAAAUACAUAAGCUGCCUUCUCCCUUCGAAUGUCAGAGCACUGAUUUGCGCAAGAAAUUGGCUAAGAGGAUUUGAGUCUUUAGACUGUGAUGAAGUGGAUUUUGAACCCUUGGAGUUGGAGGAAGUUGGAGAAGAAGUUAAUGAAACAUGUCAAGUCUGAGUUCAUGGGCAAGUGACAUGUAUGAAGUUGAGCACUUAUG